CCGGCACGGGUGAGUAACACGUAUCCAACCUGCCGUCUACUCUUGGCCAGCCUUCUGAAAGGAAGAUUAAUCCAGGAUGGCAUCAUGAGUUCACAUGUCCGCAUGAUUAAAGGUAUUUUCCGGUAGACGAUGGGGAUGCGUUCCAUUAGAUAGUAGGCGGGGUAACGGCCCACCUAGUCAACGAUGGAUAAGGGUUCUGAGAGGAAGGUCCCCCACAUUGGAACUGAGACACGGUCCAA
rnacentral:rRNA from 1 species